AGUCCAUGAGCCGAUGAGUCUGGUGCAGCAAUUAGGAGACGCAGAUGGAAGCGGGGCAGAGAGAGAGAGAAAGCGCCCACGCUGCGCGCCGCGCGUUCAGGAUGACUUUGGUUCCGAGCUGCAAAAGUUUGAAAGUGAAAGAAAGUGUGUCAUGUUUGGCGCAAAUGAAGGGCGCAGAUGUUGGCUGAGUUUAUAAAGAGAGGGAGAAAGAAAAGAAAAUGCAAAGACGUGCAAAUUUGCACCUGGUCGCCAGUGAGGAGAAGUGUUCAUUGAAGACUUUCUGAUGAAGAGGAGGAUGAAGGAAGACAAACUGGGCUUAGACACAGGAUGGAGAAAGAAAUUCACCACGGGCUAUGAGGCUUGUUUCCACCACAUUUGCCCAUCCUGACACGCGGCGGGGAAAUCACCUCAGCAGAGCUUAUCUGUUCAGACAUUGCUGAGUCAGGCUGGGGCCUUGAGAUCAUCAUCAUCAUGAGAUGGGGAGGCUGGUGACCGCAGGCAGCAACGGAGGAGGUGGUGUUGUGUGUCGUGGUUUGCAGCUGCUGGUUCUUGGUAAACUAAAUUGUGCUGUGGAGUUGCCUCAGGGAAUAAUCAGCUCAAAUGUUGAAAGGGAGAAAGAAGUAAAGUGGUUUGAGGGGCAGUAAGUAAGAUUUUUAUUGAUGCAUUGCUCCACAUGACCAUAAAACACCUGCAGGAAGCUGAUUUUGUUGUUAAUUUCCCAGGUGCUGUGGGUUUUUGGCCUGAUGAACAGCUUUCUGGCUGGGUCUGGUUUUUGUUGAACGAUAUCCACACGCAUCAUGCUGAUGCUGAUGAAAUCCCAGCUGGCGAUGGACACAGCUCAUAAAGCACAAGUAAAUCACUUCCCCUCCACAGUCUGUCAUAAGCACAGAAUAUACUGAGAAUGAAAGAUGUUUUUUCUUUUUUAUAUAUACAUUUUAUAGUACCCCAAUGUGCUAUACACUGUAUACUGUUACCAAAUAUCAUGAAUAAAGGCAAAUAGGUUGGCUUAAACAAAUAAAACAUGUACAUAAUAAAAUAGAGCAUUUUGGUCAAUAUUUACAGUAAAGGUGUGUUUUUUUUGUUUUGUUUUGGGUUUUUCUCCAUUGCUAAAAUUUUUCCAAAUAAUGACCUACACAGAUUUUUUUUUUAAGGAAAAAAAACCUGAGUAAAAAACCUUUUUAUGGAACAAUUAAUAGGAACAUUUGCAGCUCCAGUCAAAAACAAGACAUUGUUUCCAUCAAUUUAAUUACAUACAAACAUUUGACUAGUACAUAUUUAUGUGCGUUAUAUAGUCUCAUUGAACAUAAGUGACUGAAAAGUUAUGAAUUUCUGUAUUUUAAAGUACAAAAACGUAUGUUUCAUAUUCGUGAAAAAAACAUUUUUUGCCAAAAUUAGGUGACUGCUGAGAACUAAUGUACUUCAGGCAGACCUCUUGAGCUGCGUUUUACGUCCGCUUUCACUCCAAUUACUCCAUCUUGUUUAUAUAUCUAAUUGAGGGCAGAGGUGUAGCCGUCUCACAUGCUUUCUGAUGUCUCUCAACUAUCAAACCCACCACUCUUUAUCUCUUUGUAUGCCUAAUAAAUGGAAUAUGAUUUACUUGGAGCCUAUAAGCUACUCAAGUGUUUUAUCAUUAAAGUAUUCAAAGUUUCCUUGUUGAGAUCUGAUGGAAAUGUAAUUUUCAGUGGAAAGAUAUGCAGAGGAAAGCAUGUUAAAAGUUUAAAUUUAUGCCUAAACCCUACAGGUUUAAUAUCUUUUUUUUAGAUGUUUUGUAAUCGCAUGUGAUUGAGGCAUUUUCUUUAUUCAUAUGAACAACGCUGAGAAUUUUAAUUUUUAUGGCAGGUGUGAGGAUCAUAUACAUCAGGGUAGAGCACUCAGAAUCCUUUGGUUGGUACACGCAUCAUAAAGAUGCAGUCACCAGGAAGCAAUGACCACAUACAGCUUUCAUCUUUAUCAACGAUGCACUGAGCUCCAGUGAAGCGCUCCUAUUGUCUUUUGUGUGGCCAAAAUAGUCAGGCACCAAGGAAGUAAGUUAAUCCAUCACUUAAAAGGGCAUCACACUGCUAACUAUGCUCAAUGCUUUGAAGCUGACAAAAGCUAAAAAUAAAGCUAGUGUGUGGCCAGCACCCUCUGCUCUCUUGCAUUAGUUGACGAUGUUACUGCACAGUUUUAAUUAAUUCUUAGAAGAUCAGAAUCAGCAGGUCAAACCUCGUGAAUCAUAAAUAAGGAUCUGCCAAGAAGUAUGCUAUUGUUAGAAAAUUUUAUUUGUUUUUCUUCACAAAAAGUGUCGCUAUACUCUACAUACGAUUUUGAGUCUUCCCUUCAUGUCAGUCACAGAUGCUGAGCAUUUUUUCUGUUUCUGUUAUCAAACACCACGAUGAGUCAGAAAAGAGUAAAAAACGUAACACCUUCAGUCACUAGUUUUACAAAUACACUUCUGUUAGAUAAAAAUCAGCUUGGACAAGGUAUGCGCUUUAGAAUUCAGUUGCACUCCUACGUCAAAUAUUUCUGCGAAUUGUAGUUCACAAGCACAGCUCAGCAACAGGAUGCUGCUGUGCAGGACACAGAUGAAAGAGGAAAUGUCAGUGUUUGUGCUUGUAAUGCUGUUCUUGCAUCACUUUUCAAGGAAGCCAUUUUUCCUUUUUUUUCAUGGAAGUUGUGAUUGAGUAAAAUUUAGGAAUUAAGAAAAUGCAAUUUUUUUUAUUUCCACUGGUGAUUUAAAAAAUAUGGUAAUUAUUCCAUUCAUAUUUGCAUUAAACUUGAACUGAAACCAAUGAUCUUUCUUAGGAAAUAUUGCAAUUAACUCGUCACCGGCCACUGCACUGAAUUAUGGAUUUUUACCUUUUUUUUUUUCUGUGUGCACUUUUGUCUGGAUUAAACACCUUUUCCAUACCUUGAUAAAUAGACCGGUAAAAAUAAACUGAUCAACUUAAAUAUCAAGUUGCAGGGCUGAUGAAAAACAUCAAACUGCAGGCACACAUUAUUUUAAACUUGAGUUCUCCGGGGCUCGUCAGAGGUAACACAUGGAGGCAUUGCAGGACUGUUCUGCACUGGCUCAAAUUAAAAUACCAGCAGGGAUCAACAUUAAGGCUGCUUCGUGUUUUGGCAGUCGGAAAUUUCCACUUCAAUUUCCUGACUGGAAUAGUUUUAUUGUGCUGAUGAGUCACGGCAAGUGAAACGAGAAGAACAAAGUCUGUGAUGACUUCGGACUGAUUAAGAGAUAGGAAAUCUGACUUCUAUACUUAAAACAUUAAAUCCUAAAGAUCCCCAGUAAAAUGUAUUCUGUUUUUUUUGUUCAGUUGAUCUUGAACUAGAAUAGAGUAAACAUUCUCAUAUUCUUCAAUAGCCCUUUAAGAGGACAUCAUGCAAACAAUUAAUUGGUUUCAUUUGGACAUUAUCGGAAAUGUUUCAUAGUUAGUUGGUUAACUGGUUGAGAGGGACUUUUGAAGUAACGCUGCAGUAUUUUUAAAACUCUCAAGACCUCAUUAUUUAGUGGUAGAGUGAGUUUCCUGGCCCUCCAGCUACUACCACACCUUGUUACAUUUCACCAUGCAGUUGUUAUCACAGGAUUGAUUUUAUUUGUUUUUUCUCCCCCUUUGGCCUAGAUAAAUCUUCUAUCCUACAAAACACGCCUUUAAAUCUGAACAACAGAAAAACAGAGGAGAGUAACGUGAAGAUUUGGAAUCUGUCCAGCAGUUAGCCAUCAUGUGUUACUGUUAAAAGCUCGAAAUGUCACAUUUCGGCCCGAGUGGUUGAUGAGAACAUGUGCACGUUAAUGAAAAUCCAAAACAUUUGAAUUUUCUAGUUUAAAUUAACAUGUGGACAAAAGCAGGAUAUGGUCCGUGUCAUAAGACGGCAGAACACAUGUCUGGGAGCUUUUGUUUUAUUUAUUUAUGUUCUGUUUACUGUAACAAAGUACUGUAUUUAUUUACUUCUUCUAAAGUCUAAAUUAUGGAAUACUGAAAUUGACAGAAUAAAAAAAUAAAUAGAAAAUCAAAAAUGCAGCAAUGAUGUAAUUACAAUGAUGUAAAUAAAUAUAUAUGGCAAUAAAUGUCAACAGUUAUA